GUCCUCACCUGCACACAGGUGGCACUGGGCCAGUUCUGCUUUUCACAGUCAUUGCAGCAUGCAUGGCUUCUGCCACAUUUCAACCACACCCCGAGAUCAUCUGACAGCAGCCCCCACACUUCCUGGGAUUACAUCUGCUGUGGAAACCACAGCCUCAAAAUACGAGUGCUGCUGAAGCUACAGGUGUUCUGGUAGCUGUGACUCAAGAGUAGCAGGCCCCGGUGUCUUGGGUCAAAGCCAAGGAUCCUCUCAGCAUCCUGCAGGCCCAGAGCAGCUUUUCAGAAAAGGAUCUUCCACCCCAGGUGUCCACAGUCCUGUGUGGAGAAGCUGUGCACCAGCCCAGCACUGUGGCUGAUGUUUUCUCAGCUCUAACUCCAUUGAUGGAAGUUGUACUAGUAUUGUGCAAGUUUGGCUUUAUCAAAUGGGACCAUCAGCUAGUUUACACACAGUACAAUUCCCAAUUUUCAGUAAAUCCUUUUGCAGUCUUCAUAAUUGGUGUGAAGAAUGGUAGAGAAUCCACCUUUUUUUUUUAAGAGAGAGAG
rnacentral:lncRNA from 1 species